AUAACGACUCUCGGCAACGGAUAUCUCGGCUCUCGCAUCGAUGAAGAACGUAGCGAAAUGCGAUACUUGGUGUGAAUUGCAGAAUCCCGUGAACCAUCGAGUCUUUGAACGCAAGUUGCGCCCGAAGUCAUUAGGCCGAGGGCACGCCUGCCUGGGCGUCUCGCA
rnacentral:rRNA from 2 species